rnacentral:lncRNA from 1 species
UUGACUAUGGUAAAUAUUGAUUUAAAAUAAAUGGAUUAAAAAUAUUUUGAGUUUAAAUGUGUUUUGGUAAAAAUUAAUUGAGUUUAAAUGUGUUUAGGUAAAAAUUAUUUUGGUCAAUUUAAGUUAACUACAUUCUCCUAUCAUUAUUAAAAGUAAAAAAAAAAAAAAAAUUUAGACUCAUUGAAUAAAUUAUGUAUUUGUACAUUAUUAUUAUAUAUCAGAUUU